UGUUCUGACUGACUUUCAUCAGUCUCGUAGGCAACAUUGAUGUUUUCCUCAUCACUGUAUUCAUCUGACUCUGUACUACUGGAGUCAGAAUCGCUUUCUUAAAGGAUAGAAAAGAUUGACCCAGUACAAAUAGUUCUUUAGAGCCUAAUCCAAUUUUUAAGCCUCCUGAAUUUCGAAGGGAAAUGUUUCCCAAACUUAGUGAUAACAUUUCUGUCUCGGGUAAGCUCGUAGAACAGAUCACUGAAAAGUUAGCCCAUUUUCAUGUCACUGACAAGAAUAAGGCUAAAACUCCGAUCGUUCCUAACUCUUCCAUAUCCAAGGAAGCUUCUGGUUCUCCUAAGGAAGGUAAACCUUCCACUUUCGAAAGUGUCCGUACACUAACUGACAACUCCCUCCAAAUUUAACAGGACCAAAAACUAAAAUAUUAAAGCAGUAAUCAGAGUAUAAAACAGUAAAAGACUUACAGAAUUAAAAUCUUUAUUCCAUAAAACCCGAAG
rnacentral:lncRNA from 1 species